UCCUCCUAACAAGUGGCUAGAUGUAGGACCAGUUGGGAUCAAGUUUCUGAUGCCUUCCCUGAGGGUGCAGGCAGCAGGCCUUCCUAGAUUUCUCUAACCUAUUUAUGUGAGUGGUUCUGAACUAUUUUAGCCCCAUCCACGCAUCUCAAAUAUCUUCAGUUUCACCCAGUUAAGAGCCCACAUUCACUGUGCAGACUACUAGCUACUACUUGAAUUAAUAAAAACCCUUUCUGACAUUCACUAUGCUAAGCCAAACAUAAGGUACUGAUCAAGAUAUGGAUAUCAUUGGUGCUCACAGCAGCUGCCUUAACUUCCUAAUUGGAAUGGAGCUGACUAUGCCCUGAUUGUGUUCUUGGCAAGAGGUGCUGCCCUUGGAGUCAGAGCUUCUACCAAAUAGCACAAACUCAAUAUUUUCUGUCUAUGCUGAACUUUGUGAAGCUUCUCUGAAACUUUCCUGGAAGAUCCGGCAACACCAGGCCUUCUUUCUUGCAUGGUCACAGGAGAUGAGAGCAGAGUUGUCUAAACAAGGUACCCCUUUUCUGUGAACUUGAAUGCAGCCUCCCACAGGUUUGGACAAAAGAAUGGCAGGAAGAGGACAGGUGGAACAGGAUGGAGGAAAGAGGUAGCCCUCAUAGGUACGGGUGCAGAGCUCAGAGUGGCAAAGGAACAGCAGAAGUCUUGUUCUCCCAUGCCCCUGCCAAGUCCUGCUGCAACAAAAUGAUGAGCUUGGAACCGACUGCCAACUGCCACAAAGGGAACCCUUAUUACAGAGAGCUCCCUGAAACACCCGUGGAAACAGCAUGCAAAAGAUCUCUGCUCAUGCUUUGAAGAAUGCAGAAAACUUUCCUUGCCACCGUAUGUGGAGCAUCGCCCACAGAGAAGGGAAGGGGAAAACUCACACCCAUCUCCUCCCCUCCACCCCAAUCCUGGGCCCCAACUAAAACCUCAGCUUCUUUCCCUCAACCUAUCACAAGGGCCUCCCACCAGUCUUCCAUCAGUGAGGGUGGGCUUUUGCAAAUGCAAGCCUGCCCGAGCUACUUACUCUACUCUUUAAGAUAUUUUCACAAGCCCUUAUAGCUGGGGGGAAUAAAAUCCAGUGUACAGAAGUUCUAGUAGAGGCAGUGAAUACUAGUGAUUUAAAAGCAUCCUCAGAAAUCACAGGCAAUGCAAGAACCCCUGGAUAAACAUAAAAUGAGUUUCUCUAUAAUACUCAGAUGCCAGGCCUAGGGCCAGAGCCAAAGGAAUCCCACCUAGACUCUGGGGCCCUUGGUUUUGGGCCUGUUCCCCAGCUUCUUCUAUGCUGCAGCUCUUCCAUCUCCUCAGAAGAGAAGUGGUGGGGGUGAGGGGUGUCAGUUACCAAACGGCAAGUCCCUCCCUGAAGAAAGUGCUGUGGAAAGGGCAGCCCCAAACAGUGGGUUCCCCAGCCUGAGGGAGUAAAAAGGAUGGAGCAGCCCCAGGAAGGCUAAAGUGUGCAUUCCAAAAGUCUUGAACACCUAAGUUGUCAAUCAAAGCAGUUCAGCUGGCAGCCGAGAGACCAGCAGCAGAGGCAAACAAGAGUCCUGAAGGGUAGAGAGAGUCAGAGUCAGCAGAAGGAGGAUCAGGUCAACUCUGAAGAUGAAGUACAAAUGCCUAAGGCGUUUUGCCCUCCUUUGAAAAAUGUGUAAUUACACAAGUAAUGCAUGAAUAAAUUAUACUGAGAAAAUAUAUCACUUCAGGCCAACAUGCAGAAACCCCACCUCUACUAAAAAAAAAUACAAAAUUA
rnacentral:lncRNA from 1 species